rnacentral:rRNA from 1 species
UCUCCUGGAAAACGGGUGGUAAUGCCGGAUGCUCCGGUUGGAUGCAUGUCCUUCCGGGAAAGAUUCCAUCGGUAUGGGAUGGGGUCGCGUCCUAUCAGCUUGAUGGCGGGGUAACGGCCCACCAUGGCUUCGACGGGUAGCCGGCCUGAGAGGGCGACCGGCCACAUUGGGACUGAGAUACGGCCCAGACUCCUACGGGAGGCAGCAGUGGGGAAUAUUGCACAAUGGGCGCAAGCCUGAUGCAGCGACGCCGCGUGCGGGAUGGAGGCCUUCGGGUUGUAAACCGCUUUUGAUCGGGAGCAAGCCCUUCGGGGUGAGUGUACCCUUCGAAUAAGCACCGGCUAACUACGUGCCAGCAGCCGCGGUAAUACGUAGGGUGCAAGCGUUAUCCGGAAUUAUUGGGCGUAAAGGGCUCGUAGGCGGUUCGUCGCGUCCGGUGUGAAAGCCCAUCGCUUAACGGUGGGUCUGCGCCGGGUACGGGCGGGCUGGAGUGCGGUAGGGGAGACUGGAAUUCCCGGUGUAACGGUGGAAUGUGUAGAUAUCGGAAAAGAACACC